GCAUUGGUGGUUCAGUGGUAGCAUUCUCCCCUCCCACGCGGGAGACCCGAGUUCGAUUCCCGGCCAAUGCA